GUAUUUUUAUGUUAAUGUGGUACAUUAUAAAAUAAGUCAUUAGUAAUUGUAAUCCAGUAAUGGAAAAUACAUUAUGUUAACAAAACAAUUCUGUUUCUGUUUGUCUACCUUUUGCAUAAGUGUUUUACUAAAAAGUAAUUUAAAUAUUAAUCUACUCGAAUCAAAUUUUAUGAUCUAAUAAGUAAAUCGGUUUCAGAAUUAUUAUAUCUUGGUACAAAAAAUAUUUUGUGGCAUCAAAAUUAAUAUCUAUAAAUUUUUAUUAGGGGUGAAAAACCUUUCAAAUUUUGUGAUAACUGGAUAGCGGGGAAAAGUAUUUAGUACUUUAAACAGUAUAAAAUUGUUUAGAAUUUUAUAUAUUCAGAAAAUUAUAUAUUCUAAUGUUAAAAGUAUAAGUAAAACUUGUUAUUUUACUAAUGCUUAUAGCAUUUAUCACUGAUGACAGCUAACACUGUAUUUGUUCAUUUAUCAACAUAAGUAUAUAUAUAGUAAUAAAUUUAAUUCUGCAAAAUUACCCGCCAAAAUUUGAUCUUAUGUUACUUGAUAUUAUUAUUGGAUAAAUAGUGAGAAUUUCGUAAUAUUAAUAAUGUAAAAAUUAGUAAAAUUUUUAAAUAUUUUUUAUUGAACUCGGCAAAUCAACUAUUCAACUGUUUAUCAAAAACAUAGUCGGCAGAUGAAAUAAAUUUUUAUUGUCGAUAUCUUCUGCCCGGUGUUUAUAUAAACGGCCGCAGUACCUUGACUGUGCUAAGGUAGCAUAAUCAAUUGGCUAUUAAUUGUAGUCUAGUAUGAAUGAAGUAAUGAAUAGUAGCUAUAAUAAAAAAUAUUAUUUUAAUUUAAUGAACUGGUGAAAAUACCAAUAUAUAGAAAAAAGACGAGAAGACCCUUAGAGUUUUUGAAAUAAAGAUUGUUUAAGACUUUAAUUUGAUACUACUCUUAAAGUAAUUAUACAAUACACUUUUUUGUUGGGGCGACAAGAAAGCAAUAUAACCUUUCUAUUGACACUAAAAGUGGUAUUAGAUCUGACGAAUUUAUUAUGAAUGACUAAACUACCUGAGGGAUAACAGCAUAAUGAUAAAUAUUAGUUUGUGACCUCGAUGUUGGACUAGGGACUUGUACACUAACCGUGAUAAAAGCUUGUUCUGUUCGAACAAUAAACCCCUACAUGAUCUGAGUUCAGACCGGCGUAAGCCAGGUCAGUUUCUAUCUUUUGUUGAUUUAUUUUUAGUACGAAAGGACCGGAAUAAAUAUUAUUAAUAAUUUUAAUUUGGCAGAUAAAUGCAACUGAUUUAGAAUCAGUAGAUGGUGGUCACAUCAGUUGGAAAUAUACUUUAAGGAUAAAGAAGAAUUAGUUUGCAUCUAAUAAGUGAAUAUUGUGAAAUGUUCUAUUUCCACAUAAAAUUAAAAAGUACUGUCAUUAAGGAAAUUACAUACUUGCCUAGACCUAUGAGUAUCUCUAUCUGAUGAAACAUAGGCUCAAUUAUAGGUCUAAUGUUAUUUUUGCAAAUUUUAACUGGAUUUUUUUUAUCUAUACACUAUACAGCUAAUAUUGCCAGAUCAUUUGAAUCUGUUAUUCAUAUUAUUCGUGAUGUUCCAAUAGGUUGGUUGGUCCGUAGUCUCCAUGCUAAUGGAGCCUCUUUCUUUUUUGUUUUUAUAUAUCUUCAUAUUGCUCGAGGUUUGUAUUACCAAAGUUAUAUUACACAACCUAAAUCUUGAAUGGUAGGGACUAGAAUUUUUUUAUUGAGCAUAGCAACAGCAUUUUUAGGGUAUGUUCUUCCUUGAGGUCAAAUGUCUUUUUGAGGUGCUACUGUAAUUACUAACUUUUUAUCAGCUAUCCCUUAUGUUGGUGGUAUAGUUGUUGAAUGAGUAUGAGGAGGUUUUAGUAUUGGUCAGGCUACACUAAAUCGAUUUUAUUCAUUACAUUUCAUUUUACCAUUUAUUAUCAUAAUUCUGGCCAUAUUACACUUAGUUUUUCUUCAUGAAAUAGGCAGCACUAACCCAUUAGGUUGUGUUAACCAUCUCAGAAAAGUACCCUUUCAUCCUUAUUUUACGUGAAAAGAUAGUGUAGGGUUUAUUACUGUAUUAAUAAUAUUAAUUUUCGUAUCAUUAUACUUCCCAAAUUAUUUAGGAGACCCCGAAAAUUAUCAGUUAGCUAAUUCGAUAGUUACGCCAGUACAUAUUAUACCAGAAUGAUAUUUUUUAUUUGCUUAUGCGAUUUUACGAUCCAUUCCUUCUAAAUUGGGUGGGGUUAUCGCUUUGGCUGCAAGAAUUAUAGUGUUGUAUGUUCUACCUAUAAUUAAAUUUGAAAAAAUAAUUUCUACAUCGUUUAACUUAAUAUAUCAAGUACUGUUUUGGUUGUUUUGUGGUAAUUUUAUAUUAUUGACCUGGUUAGGGUCUUGUCCUAUUGAAGCCCCUUAUAGUACCUUAGCUGUCCCAAUAACUUUUAUGUACUUUUUUCUAUUAUUUUUAAUGCCUAUUAGUUCAAUUCUGUGAAAAAAUGCCUUGGAGAAAUAAUAUAUUUGUUUUUAGUAGUAUAAACAUUACACUUACCUUCCAAGUAAAAAAUCUUUUUUAAAAGCUCCUGUAGUAGGUUAAAAUAAACCAUUAGUUUGUGAUACUAAAAAUAUAUUAUCAUCUAUAGGUUGUUUUAAGAGGGACUUAACCCCAUCUUAGACGCUUAAAGUCUAUGCAUUUUAGUCUGCCAUCUUAAAGUACAAUAGCGAGAAUUUAGAUCUAGCAAUAUUCGUAUUACUAAGUUAUUUCGUUAUUUUUUUAUUUCGAUUAUAUGUAUUUAUAAUAAUAAUAAAGAACAAAGUCGAGUUUACAAAUAGGAAAAUUAGAAUUCCAUAAGUGGGGCUGAGUUGAGGGAUGUUUAAAUGACUACAUAAUUGUAUCUUCUUAAUUAACAGUUAAGUGCUUUUAUUUAAGCUACAUUUAAUCUUUAUAAUUUUCAAUCCAACGCACCAUUAUGUCAUUCAAGAAAUACCCCAGCAAUAAGAAUCAACAGGAUUACUAUCAGAAUCAUAAUACUCUUAAGGUCCGCAUAGAUUUGAAGCGAAUAGGCUAGAGGAAAAAACAGAGCGAGUUCGAUAUCAAAUACAACAAAUAGAACGAUUAGCGCAAAAAAUUUCGUCGAAAAUGGCGAUCGUAUUUUGCUUAUUGAGUCGUAUCCACACUCAAACGAUGUUAGUUUUCUUAGAUUUUGAUUACUUGAUAUGAGUUUUGCUAGAAAUAUAUAUAUUAGAAAUAAAGCGGUUGACAGAAUUAUGCAAAUGAACACAUGACUAGUUAUUAUUUUUUGUUGAGAUACUCUUGAUUUAUCUCUGGAUCGAUUUUCAAAAUCGUUCACUUAACAAAAGUUAUAAGGAAAGAUAAUAUUGAAGCUGCUAACUUUAAUAGGGGAGGAAAUUUUACUUCCGUCUUUCUUAGAUAUGAUAAUAUCAAUUUUUUUUGUUCUAAUUGGUAGUAUUUUAUUAUGUAAUAACUGAGUUUUUGUUAUAAUUUCUCUUUCUAUGGCCAGUUUAAUAAGAUUAAUUAAUAUUAAUCAGUUUUUUACUUUUAGCGUGAACAUUGGAUGAAACUCAAGAGCUCUGAGAAAUAUAUUGAUUUUUUUAACUGUUUAUCUUUUUUUAUUGGUUUUUCUUAGCUCUAAAAAUCUAUCAUCUGUUAAAUACAACACUACACUGAUCAUAUUAGCAAUCUUCCUAGUUGUGACGUUUAGUACUAAGAAUAUAUUUUAUUUUUAUAUAUUUUUUGAGGCCUCUUUAAUUCCUACAUUAGCCCUAAUCAUCGGCUGAGGGUAUCAACCUGAGCGAUUGCAGGCCGGUACCUAUAUAAUAUUAUACACAGUUUUUGCUUCUCUGCCAUUGUUGGUCAUAAUUAUGUAUUUUUUUAAUUUACAUAAUACUUGUGAUUUUCAAAUUUUAGAAAUGUUAAACAAAACCCCUUUGGAUUGAUAUAUAGUCAUUUUUGUUUUAACUGCAUUUUUAGUGAAACUACCAAUUUAUAGCACUCAUUUGUGGCUUCCUAAAGCACACGUAGAAGCUCCUUUAGCUGGUUCAAUAAUCUUAGCUGGUGUAUUGUUAAAAUUAGGAGGAUAUGGAUUGGUUAAAAUGGGAAAUACAUUUACGAUUAGAAGAAUAAAUCUUGUAAGAGUAUUCAUCUAUUCUUUAAGUAUUUGGGGUGCUGUUUUAUCUAGAUUGAUAUGUUUACGUCAAGUUGAUGUAAAGGCCAUAGUAGCUUAUUCGUCAGUAGGGCAUAUGAGGGUGGUGGUCUUAGGGGCAUUAUAUAACAACACUUCAAGUGUCUUUGCGGCUACUGUAACCAUAUUUGCCCAUGCUUUUAGCUCAUCUGCCUUGUUUUGUUUAGCUUAUUAUAGAUAUGAAAAAAUUUCAAGUCGAAGUAUAAUAUACAUAAAAGGGUAUUUAACAAUAUUUCCGAUUUUAUCAUUACUAUGAUUUAUCUUUACUUGUAUUAACAUAGCAGCACCGCCAACAUUAAAUUUAAUUGGUGAGAUACUAAUUGUUCCAAUGCUAUCAAAUUUAGGAGUAUAUUUUAUAGUAACAAUAGGACUGUGUAUUUUUUUAUCAGCCUGUUAUAAUAUAUUUUUAUAUACUGCGGUUAAUCAUGGUAAAGGUAGUGAGUUUAUUAUUGGAGGAAAUCAGUUAACUAAUAAUCAAAUAUUAGUUAUAGGAAUACACUUAGCUCCUCUAUUACUUUUGUUAAAAAUAAAUCUAUUUUGCU